rnacentral:misc_RNA from 1 species
AGCUCAUACUUUCUCUUCUUCCUCCAUGCCUUCUUCUUGCCACCAGUGGCACGCCUCUUGUGCAUCGAAUCACGAGAAAUCCCCAUUUUUGCCGAGAAAGGAUUCUAAGCUUCUCUCCGCUUCGCGAGUCCAAACCUCCACGUAGACGCUAGGGUUUCCGAGAAAGAGAAGCGAAAGUGAAGCGGGGCUUUGUAGUUAUCUG